GCCAUGGCUGAAUGGAGAAAGCGAUCCGCCACAGGUGAACAAGUGGGGAAUUUGCAGGUUCGAAUCCUGUUGGAUGCU
rnacentral:tRNA from 1 species